CCCUACGGGGGGCAGCAGUGGGGAAUAUUGCACAAUGGGGGAAACCCUGAUGCAGCGACGCCGCGUGAGUGAAGAAGUAUUUCGGUACGUAAAGCUCUAUCAGCAGGGAAGAAAAUGACGGUACCUGACUAAGAAGCCCCGGCUAACUACGUGCCAGCAGCCGCGGUAAUACGUAGGGGGCAAGCGUUGUUCGGAAUAACUGGGCGUAAAGGAUGCGCAGGCGGUUGAACAAGUUAUAUGUUAAAUAUAUAGGCUUAACCUCUAGAAAGCAUUUAAAACUGUUUAACUAUAGUGCAGGAGAGGUG
rnacentral:rRNA from 1 species